GAAGUUAUCGAUACGCGGUCGUAUAAAAACAUGGAUGCCCUGCGCGAAGUCAGUCGGCUCGUCGUAGCGCCGCUAGAAAGACACACUGAGAAACAUGUGGACGAAAGUUUUUGCUUUGUUCCUGGUCUUCGCCAUCGUAGCCUCAAUUCCUAUCGACGUCGAGCCAACCAGAAAAUGCGUGACUGGGAAACGUUACUUCGAUGGAUGUAAUUGGUGCUUUUGUGCCGGCGACGGUGUCACAGGAUGCACUCUGAUGGCUUGCGUGAAGUACAAUCCUGAGACUGGCGAAAUGGAGUCGGUUAACAGGUCACUGCCGCCUCCAGAAGACUAUUGGGAAGCUUAGACUCGUUCGAGUUUAAGUGAAAGAAUUAAACGGUUUACUGAUUAACCAUGAUAAAUUUCGCGAGGAGGGCGGCCGAGGAAGAUACGAACACAGGAUCAAGUGAUUCCAUCACACAAACCGACACGUCCCUCUCUCUGUCCCUCUGCCUCUCCCUGUCACGUUCCCGUUCCUUUUCCCGAUCCCGUGGCUCCCUCUCCCUGAUCCCGGACUCUCUUUCCUGUUGGCGUUCCCUGCGCUCGUUCUCCGUACUUCUCUCUCGCACCCUCUCCCGCUCGCGUUCCCGGUGUCUCUCCCGAUCUCGCUCGUGAUCUCUCUCCCACGCUGUUUCGCCUAGCCCCGGCAAAGGCGGCGACACUGGAAAAAGAAGAACAUUAAUUAACGCAUUCGCGUCGGGACAUGUUUUUAUAUGUUUAACACACUAGCUGUCGCCAUUGUGUAAAAAAUAUUAACCCCGGAGGUCAACCCAUUUUUUCCAUUUAUUUGCAUAAUUUGACUGCGGGAAUACUUAUGAAUGUAUUUUGCACAAAUUAUAUGUUUUGAGUAAAUUUUUUGUUGUUAUUUGCGUUCGAAUGACGAAACCUUUGAAGGAAAUAUUUAUGCAGUUUUAAAUGUAGCGACAUUCGUAUGUGAAGGACCUGGCAGUCAUCGUGUUAAUCGUAAAUUGUAAUAAUGACGAACCAAUGUUUGUAAGAAUGAUGGGUGUAUUCUCUUGUUACGUGUAUAGUUUUCUGACUUCAGUUGCUUAACGAGAGUAAAUGUUAAUAAACAAUUUAACAAAUCAA